GGUCAGCCUCUAUAGACCAGACCGUCCGAUCGUAUAUGGCGACGACACCGUCGGUCAGGUCGGACGGGGAAGCUUUUUCGGGCCCCACUUGGCGGACCACUUUCGUUCCCUCUGGCUCUGACUCUUAGAAAUCAACCAUCCUCUUCUCUGCUCUUCAAUCGAUCGAUCGAUCGAGCAAGCAAUCGCAAUGGCGGCACAAGCCCUCCACUUCCUCUCGCCUUCCGUCCCCUCUCCUUCUCUCCCCGCUCUAUCUUCCGGCAAGCCUUCGAUGCUCCCUUACGCCUCUGUCUUUCGCUCCCGCCCUCGCUCCUUCUCCCUCCGCGCCUCCUCUUCCCUCCGCGAUCUAGGCCUCACCCCCUCCGACGGAGGCGCCGCAUCCAUCGACGUAGACGCCGUAACCGAGGCCGAGCUUCGGGAGAACGGAUUCCGGAGCACGAGGCGGACCAAGCUGGUCUGCACCAUCGGCCCCGCCACCUGCUCCGCCGAGCAGAUCGAGGCGCUCGCUGUCGGAGGAAUGAACGUCGCCAGGGUGAACAUGUGCCACGGCACCCGCGAGUGGCACCGCCAGGUGAUCCGACAGGUCCGCCGCCUCAAUGAGGAGAAAGGGUUCGCCGUGGCUGUGAUGGUGGACACCGAGGGGAGUGAGAUCCACAUGGGGGAUCUCGAUGGUGACGCCUCUGUCAAGGCCGAGGAUGGUGAGAUUUGGACAUUUAGUGUAAGAGCUUUUGACGCAGCACUUCCAGAACGGACCAUUGCUGUAAAUUAUGAUGGCUUUGCUGAAGAUGUUAGUGUUGGCGAUGAACUUCUUGUGGACGGAGGAAUGGUUAGGUUUGAGGUGAUUGAAAAGAUAGGUCCAGAUGUAAAAUGCCAGUGCAAUGAUCCUGGGCUGUUGUUGCCACGUGCUAAUCUUACUUUCCGGAGGAAUGGAAGACUAGUCCAAGAACGUAAUGCAAUGCUUCCUACAAUUUCUUCUAAGGAUUGGCUUGAUAUUGACUCUGCAAUAUCUGAGGGUGUGGACUUCAUUGCAGUUUCCUUUGUCAAGUCUGCAGAUGUCAUAAAUCAUCUUAAGAGCUAUAUAGCUGCAAGAUGCCCUGACAAUGAAAUUGCUGUGAUCGCAAAGAUUGAGAGUUUUGAUUCCUUGAAAAAGCUAGAAGAGAUCAUCCAUGCAUCAGAUGGAACAAUGAUAGCCAGAGGAGACAUGGGUUCUCAAAUUCCUCUUGAAGAAGUCCCUUCAGCUCAGCAAAAAAUUGUUAAAUUGUGCAGACAGCUUAACAAACCUGUAAUUGUGGCUUCUCAGCUUCUGGAAUCUAUGAUUGAGUAUCCAACGCCAACUAGAGCGGAAGUUGCUGAUGUCACAGAGGCUGUUAAACAGAGGGCAGAUGCUCUGAUGCUCUCAGGUGAGUCAGCUAUGGGCCAAUAUCCAGAGAAAGCGUUGACUGUGCUUAGAAAUGUAAGCCUACGAAUUGAAAAAUGGUGGAGAGAAGAGAAGAUUCAUGAGGAAAUCGAUCUUCCAGAUAUUUCAUCUUCUUUCUGUGGUAAAGUUUCAGAGGAAAUAUGUAACUCGGCUGCUACAAUUGGCCAUACUUUCUCAUGCAAGGGUGUAGAGAUGGAUUUAGAUAAACUACAGGUUAUCCAUCAUUGGCCUCUAUCAAAUUCUGUGAAGGAGCUAUGUGGCUUUCUUGGCCUCACAGGUUAUUAUCGGCGAUUCAUCAAGAACUAUGGUCUCAUUGCCAAACCUUUAAUUGAUCUCACGAAGAAGCAUAACUUCAAAUGGCAUUAAGCAGCUACUGCAGCAUUUCAAACACUGAAACUAGCCCUUACAUCUGCUCUAGUUCUUUAUCUUCCUGAUUUUAAUGCAGCAUUUACUAUUGAAUGUGAUACAUCAUCAGAGGCCAUUCUUUCCCAACAUGGACAUCCUAUUUCUUAUUUCAGCAAAGGUUUAUCUUUUUCAAACAGACUCAAAUCUACUUAUGACCGUGAGUUAUUGGCAUUGGUAUUGGCAUUAGAAAAAUGAAAGCAUUACUUGUUGGGUCGACAUUUCUUUGUCACUUCUGAUCAUUGUAGUCUCAAGUUUUUGCUCGGCUAGCGUCUUACGACAAACGAACAACAACGAUUUCUCUUGAAAUUGUUGUCGUUUGAUUUCUCCAUCAUUUACAAAAAAAAGUGUAGAAAAUAUAGGAGCUGAUGCUUUAUCGCGCCUACCUCAACAUGCUGACUUCUUGUCAAUGGUCAUUCCUUUCCCUUUGGAUUUUCUGGAGCUGCAGCAGACAUAUUACAGGAUCACUUUACUACAAAAACAAGCUUGUCAUCCCUAAGAAGUCUUCACUACGGCAAAAAUUGUUGGUUGAAUCUCAUAACACUUGCACCGCUGGUCAUGGAGGCUAUCUCAAAGUUUUUACUGGCCACGCAUGAAGCAUGAUGUUAAAGCCUGAAUUCAAAAUUGUUUAAUUUUUCAACGGUCUAAAUAUCAAGCUUUAGCUCCCGUAGGUUUGCUACAACCACUAUCCAUACUUGACCGAAUUUGGGAGGAUAUUUCUUUACACUUCAUUAUUAAUUUGCCAAAGUCAGGAGGUUAUGAUACUAUUCUGGUUGUAGUUGAUAGAUUGAGCCAAUACGCCCAUUUUGUUUCACUAUCUCACCCCUUUACUACCAAAUCUAUUUCUCACCUAUUCAGCAAGGAAAUUGUUCGUCUACAUGGGUGAUCGAGGUUUAUUGUGUUUGAUAGAGAUGUGAUAUUCCUCAGUGCUUUUUGGCAAGAAUUGUUCAAGCUCAGUCACACUAAACUCAAUAUGAGUUCUGCUUACCAUCCGCAAAUUGACGAACAAACUGAAGUUGUGAACCGCUGCCUUGAAACUUAUCUACGUUGUUUUGCUGAGAUCCUCUGCAUCUGCAAUCUUAUAUUCAUGGUGAAACUAAUAUUGUUGAUCUUGAAGACUAGUUAAUAACACGGGAUGCUAUGCUACGCACAUUGAAGGACAAUCUUGUCAAAGCUCAGUCUCGUAUGAGGUCACACACAAAUUCCAAAUGACGUGAUCUCCAAUUUCAAGUUGGUGAUGUUGUUUUUUUACAUCUCCAACCUUAUAGAUAACGUUCCUUAGCCAAGCGCAGCAAACAACUUGGGUGUCGAUGCACUCUUCAUCUUUACGAGGACUGGCGAGAUGGCCUCACUUCUUUCACGUUGUCGCCCUGAUUGUCCAGUGUUUGCAUUUACUCCUUCAGCAUCAGUUAGAAGACGAU